CCUACGGGUGGCAGCAGUGGGGAAUAUUGCUCAAUGGGGGAAACCCUGAUGCAGCGACGCCGCGUGAGUGAAGAAGUAUUUCGGUAUGUAAAGCUCUUUCAGCAGGGAAGAAAAUGACGGUACCUGAUUCAGAAGCCCCGGCUAACUACGUGCCAGCAGCCGCGGUAAUACGUAGGGGGCAAGCGUUAUCCGGAUUUACUGGGGUUAAAGGGAGCGUAGACGGCAGCACAAGUCAGGAGUGAAAUGCCGGGGCUUAACCCCGGAAUUGCAAUGGAUACUGUGCACCUAGAGUACAGGAGAGGUAAGCGGAAUUCGUGGUGUAGCGGUGAAAUGCGUAGAUAUGAGGAGGAACUCC
rnacentral:rRNA from 1 species